rnacentral:rRNA from 1 species
GUAGGUGGCAAGCGUUGUCCGGAAUUAUUGGGCGUAAAGCGCGCGCAGGCGGGUUUUUUAAGGUCUGAUGUGAAAGCCCACGGGCUCAACCGUGGAGGGUCAUUGGAAACUGGAGAACUUGAGUACAGAAGAGGAGAGCGGAAUUCCACGUGUAGCGGUGAAAUGCGUAGAGAUGUGGAGGAACACCAGUGGCGAAGGCGGCUUUCUGGUCUGUAACUGGCGCUGAGGCGCGAAAGCGUGGGGAGCAAACAGGAUUAGAUACCCUGGUAGUCCACGCCGUAAACGAUGAGUGCUAAGUGUUAGGGGGUUUCCGCCCCUUAGUGCUGCAGCUAACGCAUUAAGCACUCCGCCUGGGGAGUACGGCCGCAAGGCUG